rnacentral:rRNA from 1 species
GAUUAUGGCUCAGGAUGAACGCUGGCGGCGUGCCUAACACAUGCAAGUCGAGCGAUCUCUCGGAGAAGAGCGGCGGACGGGUGAGUAACGCGUGGGUAACCUGCCCUGUACACACGGAUAACAUACCGAAAGGUAUGCUAAUACGGGAUAAUAUGUUUUGAUCGCAUGGUCGAAAUAUCAAAGCUCCGGCGGUACAGGAUGGACCCGCGUCUGAUUAGCUAGUUGGUGAGGUAAUGGCUCACCAAGGCGACGAUCAGUAGCCGACCUGAGAGGGUGAUCGGCCACAUUGGAACUGAGACACGGUCCAAACUCCUACGGGAGGCAGCAGUGGGGAAUAUUGCACAAUGGGCGAAAGCCUGAUGCAGCCAACGCCGCGUGAGCGAUGAAGGCCUUCGGGUCGUAAAGCUCUGUCCUCAAGGAAGAUAAUGACGGUACUUGAGGAGGAAGCCCCGGCUAACUACGUGCCAGCAGCUGC